GAAGAGGAUGGGGAGACCUUCCUUUUGGUGGCGUUGCUGACGCAAACAGAAGCCGGAGUGUGGCCACGAGGGGGGUUUGAGCGGUCGAUGGUGGGAGGGGAGUGAGAGUGACAUUCAGUCGAUGGUGGUUAGCAAGGACUUAACGAGCUCAUAAGUACCUUAACGGAGAUGACAAUUAAAAAUAUCCAAUUGAUUGUUAAAUUUUAAUUAAAAUUUAAUUGAUUGGACUUUUAAUUAAA